rnacentral:rRNA from 1 species
GACGAACGCUGGCGGCGUGCUUAACACAUGCAAGUCGAACGGAAAGGCCCUGCUUUUGUGGGGUGCUCGAGUGGCGAACGGGUGAGUAACACGUGAGUAACCUGCCCUUGACUUUGGGAUAACUUCAGGAAACUGGGGCUAAUACCGGAUAGGAGCUCCUGCUGCAUGGUGGGGGUUGGAAAGUUUCGGCGGUUGGGGAUGGACUCGCGGCUUAUCAGCUUGUUGGUGGGGUAGUGGCUUACCAAGGCUUUGACGGGUAGCCGGCCUGAGAGGGUGACCGGCCACAUUGGGACUGAGAUACGGCCCAGACUCCUACGGGAGGCAGCAGUGGGGAAUAUUGCACAAUGGGCGGAAGCCUGAUGCAGCAACGCCGCGUGCGGGAUGACGGCCUUCGGGUUGUAAACCGCUUUCGCCUGUGACGAAGCGUGUGUGACGGUAAUGGGUAAAGAAGCACCGGCUAACUACGUGCCAGCAGCCGCGGUGAUACGUAGGGUGCGAGCGUUGUCCGGAUUUAUUGGGCGUAAAGGGCUCGUAGGUGGUUGAUCGCGUCGGAAGUGUAAUCUUGGGGCUUAACCCUGAGCGUGCUUUCGAUACGGGUUGACUUGAGGAAGGUAGGGGAGAAUGGAAUUCCUGGUGGAGCGGUGGAAUGCGCAGAUAUCAGGAGGAACACCAGUGGCGAAGGCGGUUCUCUGGGCCUUUCCUGACGCUGAGGAGCGAAAGCGUGGGGAGCGAACAGGCUUAGAUACCCUGGUAGUCCACGCUGUAAACGGUGGGUACUAGGUGUGGGGUCCAUUCCACGGGUUCCGUGCCGUAGCUAACGCUUUAAGUACCCCGCCUGGGGAGUACGGCCGCAAGGCUAAAACUCAAAGGAAUUGACGGGGCCCCGCACAAGCGGCGGAGCAUGCGGAUUAAUUCGAUGCAACGCGUAGAACCUUACCUGGGUUUGACAUGGAUCGGGAGUGCUCAGAGAUGGGUGUGCCUCUUUUGGGGUCGGUUCACAGGUGGUGCAUGGCUGUCGUCAGCUCGUGUCGUGAGAUGUUGGGUUAAGUCCCGCAACGAGCGCAACCCUUGUUCACUGUUGCCAGCACGUUAUGGUGGGGACUCAGUGGAGACCGCCGGGGUCAACUCGGAGGAAGGUGGGGAUGACGUCAAGUCAUCAUGCCCCUUAUGUCCAGGGCUUCACGCAUGCUACAAUGGCUGGUACAGAGAGUGGCGAGCCUGUGAGGGUGAGCGAAUCUCGGAAAGCCGGUCUCAGCUCGGAUUGGGGUCUGCAACUCGACCUCAUGAAGUCGGAGUCGCUAGUAAUCGCAGAUCAGCAACGCUGCGGUGAAUACGUUCCCGGGGCU